UACGUGGGGUGCAAACGUUGCUCGGAAUCAUUGGGCGUAAAGCGCACGUAGGCGGCUUCUUAAGUCGGAUGUGAAAGCCCUCGGCUCAACCGAGGAAGUGCAUCCGAAACUGGGAAGCUUGAAUCCCAACGGGGGCUGCGGAAUUCCCGGUGUAGAGGUGAAAUUCGUAGAUAUCGGGAGGAACACCAGUGGCGAAGGCGGCAGCCUGGGUGGUGAUUGACGCUGAGGUGAGAAAGCGUGGGGAGCAAACAGG
rnacentral:rRNA from 1 species